rnacentral:rRNA from 1 species
ACUGCUCAGUAACACGUGGCUAACCUGCCCUCGGGACGGGAAUACCCCCGGGAAACUGGGGCUAAUUCCCGAUAGGUGAAGAACUCCGGAAUGAGUCUCCGCCCAAAAGACGCUUAAAUCAUGCUUUUAGGCGCCGCCCAAGGAUGGGGCCGCGACCGAUCAGGUAGUUGGUGAGGCAACGGCUCACCAAGCCUUUAACCGGUGCGGGCCGUGGGAGCGGGAGCCCGGAGAUGGGCACUGAGACAAGGGCCCAGGCCCUACGGGGCGCAGCAGUCGCGAAAACUUUGCAAUACACGAAAGUGUGACAGGGCUAUCCCGAGUGCCAUCCGCUGAGGAAGGCUUUUACCCAGUCUAGAAAGCUGGGAGAAUAAGGAGAGGGCAAGUCUGGUGUCAGCCGCCGCGGUAAUACCAGCUCUCCGAGUGGUGUGGAUGUUUAUUGGGCCUAAAGCAUCCGUAGCUGGCCAAGUUAGUCCCCUGUUAAAUCCACCGAAUUAAUCGUUGGUGUGCGGGGGAUACUGCUCGGCUAGGGGACGAGAGAGGCCGACGGUAUUUUCGGGGUAGGGGUGAAAUCCUAUAAUCCCGAGAGGACCACCAGUGGCGAAGGCUGUCGGCUAGAACGCGCCCGACGGUGAGGGAUGAAAGCUGGGGUAGCGAACCGGAUUAGAUACCCGGGUAGUCCCAGCUGUAAACGAUGCAGCUAGGUGUUUGGGCGGCCACGUGCCGCUCUAGUGCCGCAGGAAAGCUGUUAAGCCUGCCGCCUGGGGAGUACGGUCGCAAGGCUGAAACUUAAAGGAAUUGGCGGGGGAGCAC